rnacentral:rRNA from 1 species
GACGAACGCUGGCGGCGUGCUUAACACAUGCAAGUCGAGCGGAGCGGCGAACGGGUGAGUAACGCGUGAGUAACUUCCCCCCUCUCUGGGACAACAGUUGGAAACGGCUGCAAAUACCGGAUAGUGGUGGAUGACUCUCGUCCUAUCAGCUUGUUGGUGGGGUAGUGGCCUACCAAGGCGAGGACGGGUAGCCGGCCUGAGCGGGCGAACGACCACAUUGUGCUAAGAUACGGACCAAACUCCUACGGGAGACAGCAGGGGGGAAUCUUGCACAAUGGGGGAAACCCUGAUGCAGAAACGCCGGGUGCGGGAUGAAGGCCUUCGGGUUGUAAACCGCUUUCAGCCAUGACGCGGUAGUGGCAGAAGAAGCACCGGCUAACUACGUGCCAGCAGCCGCGGUAAUAC